CAGGCUGGAGUGCAAUGGCGCGAUCUUGGCUCACUACAACCUCCGCCUUCCAGGUUCAAGUGAUUCUACUGCCUCAGCCUCCUGAGUAGCUGGGAUUACAGGCACCCGCCACCAAGUCUGGCUAAUUUUCCUACAUACAUGUUUUAUAGACCGCUCAUGGUUAGAAUCAUCUUUCAUUUAUUUCCUUCUGUAGGUUUAAACAUUUACAUCACUGACAUUAAAUCCAAAUUUACUGAAGACGUAUGCACAUUUACCUUAUUCUGGGUGCUAGGGUCUCUCAGCUGACC
rnacentral:lncRNA from 10 species